rnacentral:rRNA from 1 species
CAGUCGCCGCGGGAAUACGUAGGGUGCAAGCGUUAAUCGGAAUUACUGGGCGUAAAGCGCACGCAGGCGGUCUGUCAAGUCAGAUGUGAAAUCCCCGGGCUUAACCUGGGAACUGCAUUUGAAACUGGCAGGCUAGAGUCUUGUAGAGGGGGGUAGAAUUCCAGGUGUAGCGGUGAAAUGCGUAGAGAUCUGGAGGAAUACCGGUGGCGAAGGCGGCCCCCUGGACAAAGACUGACGCUCAGGUGCGAAAGCGUGGGGAGCAAACAGGAUUAGAUACCCCAGUAGUCCCUGUCUCUUAUAC